rnacentral:misc_RNA from 1 species
AACCUUAUGGACCUGCGGGCGUAUACCUGCGGAAGGAUCAUUAACACAAACACUGCGGCCCGCGUUGUGCGUGUGUGUGUGUGUGCUCUUGUGCGUGGGGUUUCGUGCACACGCUGGCUCUCUUUUCUUUUCGGAGACAGAGAGAGUCGGCGCUGCUGCUGGCCCGCGCACGGCACCACUGCCACCGCCGCCGGGUUGCAUGUGGAUCCCAUAUCCACAUACCCCGCGAACUGUUAAAGU